GCACUGCUGUUUGGACGGCGCAGUUUGCCCUUGUACGUGGUUAUAAUGCUGCCAUUUAAUGUUCGUGAGUGAGUUCUUUCUGCAGAUGAAGUUACUCUAAUGAGCAAUUCUGGAUCAAGAUUUUGACCAUGGAAGGCAUUCUGCACAGCUAAAUUCAAGGCCCGCCUCUCCCAGUCUUACGUACUCAGGCUCUCCGGUGAAGGGAGGGCAGACAGCUGCCGAAAAAGUGUGGCUGUGAGUCCAAGGAAAGGAUACGAAACCCUCAGGAAGAAGUUUAUUUAUUUUAAGAGAGAACAAAAGCACUAGUAGCGAGUGGCGGGGAGAGAACCCCAAGCAGGCUCUACACUGUCAACGUGGUGCCCGACGCAAACCUGAGCCAAAGUUGGAGGCUUAACCAACUGAGCUACCCAGGUACCCCCUAGACUUGUGUUUAUUCUAAUAUAAAAGCAACUUCCCUCAAAUCUUAAAGUGAAAUUCAUGCUUUAGGAAAUUGCAUUGUGUUCUGCAUUUGGCUUUGCGUUCCCUUUGACAAGGCGCACGUCCGCCUGGGCAAGCUUUGAGCCUGGUUGCCCUCUUAGCAGCAGGAGCGUGUGAGGGAGAUGUGCUGCUGUCUUCCAGCAUCAGAGCCACCCCCACACGCAGGUCGUUGGACACUGUCCUGCACUCAUCCUGCCCUGGCACUUUGCAUUUCUGUUAUUGUCGUUUUCACGAGCCUUUCAAUGCGAACACGGAAUUCCUAAAAUGAAACUUCUCCACUUGGGGCUAUCUGGUAAUUUAGGAGAGAGAUGUUAACCUGUGGCUUCCCUGGUUAUACAUGAGUUUUUGGGAAAACCAACAACGAAGGGUGGGUGGUCUGACAAGGAGGCCAGAGAAAGCACCGGAUCCCCAAACUUCAUCUGAUUAUCUUGGUCAAUAUAUGCAUGCUGUUCCUUUCCCCCAGCCACCACCUAGGCCCAAAGCCUUACCUGACUUGAUAAAACAGACCCUAAGGACAAUGUAAAAUAAGACAAUGACAAUCGAAAAUGUUAAAUUAAAAAUACAGAAAAACAUAAUAUAAAUAAAAAUAUGCAAGUUAUGAACAAAAAUUAAGAGAUAAUAAAGGUAGAUUUUGUUGUUGUU